ACGGGUUAGUAACGCGUGGGAAUAUACCCUUUGGUACGGAAUAGCCUCUGGAAACGGAGAGUAAUACCGUAUGAGCCCUUCGGGGGAAAGAUUUAUCGCCAAAGGAUUAGCCCGCGUUAGAUUAGGUAGUUGGUGGGGUAAUGGCCUACCAAGCCUACGAUCUAUAGCUGGUUUUAGAGGAUGAUCAGCAACACUGGGACUGAGACACGGCCCAGACUCCUACGGGAGGCAGCAGUGGGGAAUCUUGGACAAUGGGGGCAACCCUGAUCCAGCCAUGCCGCGUGAGUGAUGAAGGCCUUAGGGUCGUAAAGCUCUUUCGCCUGUGAAGAUAAUGACGGUAGCAGGUAAAGAAACCCCGGCUAACUCCGUGCCAGCAGCCGCGGUAAUACGGAGGGGGUUAGCGUUGUUCGGAAUUACUGGGCGUAAAGCGCACGUAGGCGGACUGGAAAGUUGGGGGUGAAAUCCCAGGGCUCAACCCUGGAACUGCCUCCAAAACUAUCAGUCUAGAGUUCGAGAGAGGUGAGUGGAAUUCCGAGUGUAGAGGUGAAAUUCGUAGAUAUUCGGAGGAACACCAGUGGCGAAGGCGGCUCACUGGCUCG
rnacentral:rRNA from 1 species